GAUGAACGCUGGCGGGCGUGCCUAAUACAUGCAAGUCGGACGGAGCGCUUCGGCGCUCAGUGGCGAACGGGUGAGUAGCACAUGGGCAACCUGCCCUUCAGAGGGGGACAACAGCUGGAAACGGCUGCUAAUACCGCAUAAGCCCACGGAACCGCAUGGUUCAGAGGGAAAAGGAGCAAUUCGCUUUGGGAUGGACUCGCGUCCGAUUAGCUAGAUGGUGAGGUAACGGCCCACCAUGGCGACGAUCGGUAGCCGGACUGAGAGGUUGAUCGGCCACAUUGGGACUGAGACACGGCCCAG
rnacentral:rRNA from 1 species